rnacentral:lncRNA from 1 species
AAAGUUUAUAUAAUGCUAUUUUUUAAAAAAAUGAAAAAUAAGAUAAUUCAACGAAUUUUCAAAUAUCCAAAAGUUUUAAUUUUAAGUAUCAUUUUAUAAGUCGCGCUCUUGAGACUUUCUUAGAAAGAGAGCGAGAAAGAGGGCAGCAGCGGUUUCACGGUAGUCGAUGUAUCCGAACGAUAACCAACUUGCGUAUUUGUCACGCACACGUCUCAUGUGACCCGCGAACUUAACAUAAUCCCUGUCAACUCUAAGAAAAUAAUGAUCGCAUGAUGCGUCUGUGAUUUUACAGUACGUAUGCAUCUACUAUUACAUUGUUCCUAUCAGUUUUUGUAUGAGGUAAAUAAAUUGCCGGUGUAAAAUUAAUUUUGUAAUAGGAUCUAUUGUGAUCAACGAUAAUAAUUCAAUACCGUUGUCGUUGAAGUUAUAUAGUGUAUUUUAAUCUUUUCAAACUCGAUCAUGUUACUAGAAAAUAUUUUUAUUUGUAAAGUUAUUUGAGAACUUAAUUUCUUUUUUUUUCUUGGUAUAUAACAUUGUUAGUAAAUUUGAGAAUGUUAUAGAUAAUUUCAUUUGACACUUAAAAAUAAUAUAUAACAAUUACUUAUUAGGUAUUCGAGGAAAUAUUUUUAUAUUUUAAUGUGAAUUUUUUUAUCAAAAUUUGUAAUUAAACCAAAAAAAAAUAUUUUCAUAUAAUUUAAAAAAAUACUCGAUAACUAAUAAAACUAGCUUAUCUCAUUGAAAGUAACGAUUAAACAAUCUCCAUUCGAUAUUUUCGCUAUUCCAUAUAUUCUUCUCCAAAACUCUGCUUUCAAUAUUUACGAUUACUCAGUCCAACGUAAUCCAGGCAAUAAAUCGAGUCCUCGAGUCCUCCUAAAUUCAUCGAGAUGACGAUUCGAAUCAGGAGAAGAAUCUCCCAUCUAUAGAGUCUCGCGGUGCGACGAAGGGAAACGAUGUUGACACGCUAUCCGGUGGUCUUUCCGUACCGAAAAUCCAGUACGUCUGGGUGGAUCUUUCCCGUUGGUUAAGCCGAUCAUUGUCGCGGUAACAAGCCGGCUAUUGACAGGUCUCGUUCUCGAACGCCCGUUACAUACGCGCGGCACGUCCACGUAUACAUAUAUACGUCCACGCGUUUACAUGUGUACAAGUGAAAGAUUGUGUUUGUGUAUGCGUAUAGAGACACCAUCCUUCUCGAGCAAGGGGACACACGACGAUGAGACAAACCACGGUUUGACCACUGUGCGGUAGUGUUACGGCUCUACUACGGGGGCCACAUACUAAUGGGGCAUUACCUUAACACCCUCUAUCCUGACUCUCGUUCAGUUAGUUACUCCUUGGGGAUGUGGAAGAAAGAAAAGUCCACCCCCUCUAACCUCUCUUUCUCUUUCUUUUUUCGAUCGUUUCUUUCUCGACACUUCUCUCGUUACUCCUUCCUUUUCUCUUUCGAAAGACGCGACGCGAGUGUUCUCCUCUCCUCGUCCCUCCCUCAGUUUUCACCACAGCUUUUUCUCUCUGUUUUUGAUCGAUCGUUCGUGAAAACGCGCGUCUCGACGUAAAUCGUUAUCGGGCCAUUUCCACGUCUGUUGGAUAACUCGAUCCUCGAAAUCGAAUCGUUUAGCAAAAUUUGGAUGAGGCUGAACGAUCAUUCGAAAGAAUUUCUUUAGUCGCAAAUUUAAAACGCUAGAUUGAAACUAAUGUUCACGGGAACGCAAUUGAGGUGAGAUAAUAUGCUGCGAUCGAAGAAUUGCAAAUCGUUUUGAUCGCAACACGGUUCGAGUUGUGUCGACACUCGGAGGUCCGAUCCGAGAUUCGGUCGGAAACAAUACGACGAGCGAUUUGUGCUGGCGAUAGGUGAAGUCGGGGUGGGGAGAGGACUGCAUGAAUUUCAAUCGACAUCUUAUCUAGUACACGAGCGAGCUUCGAGUGCCGGUGGAUCGUGAUCAAGUGGACCUCCAUGGCGAGGACAAUACACGCUGCGCCCGACAAGUGACAAUACGCUAUCAGGGUCGUUCGAGGCGUAUUGCUCUUUUGUCCGAACUACUAUACCUGCCAUACGUACUUGAACAAGUUCAUGGAAAGUGUGAGGACUGACCCGGCCAUGGAUUACCAGUGAAGAUUGCCUAGAAGAAAUGUUCAACAAAAGGAAAUUUCAUCGAUGGUGAAUUUUAUAAUUUAAAUAUAUUGAGAUAUAG